CGGCUGGCCGCUUAGGUGGCGCAGCUGCUGCAUGGCUGGCAGACAGCGCCGCACAUAGAGGACGUGCGUAAUUGCAUGGCGGCACUUUGAAUAAUCGCAGUGCCAUCAACCAAUGGACCUUCUUGCAUAGCAUAAUGCAAGUGCAGUAGCUUGCAAGGCAGAUAGAGUGUGGAGCUGUGGACACUAAAAAGGAGAGUGCCAAUUAGAGAAAUUGGCACAUUUCAAGAAAGCUUUUAACAAUGUCAACAAGAAUACACUCUUUGAAAUUAUGAAGGUAGCAAGAGUAAAAUAAAGG